rnacentral:rRNA from 1 species
GCAGUCGAGCGGAGAGAGAAGCUUGCUUCUUCUCUUAGCGGCGGACGGGUGAGUAACACGUGGGCAACCUACCUUGUAGAUUGGGAUAACUCCGGGAAACCGGGGCUAAUACCAAAUAAUCCAUUUUGCUUCAUGGCGAAAUGUUGAAAGGCGGCUUCGGCUGUCACUACAAGAUGGGCCCGCGGCGUAUUAGCUAGUUGGUAGGGUAAUGGCCUACCAAGGCGACGAUACGUAGCCGACCUGAGAGGGUGAUCGGCCACACUGGGACUGAGACACGGCCCAGACUCCUACGGGAGGCAGCAGUAGGGAAUCUUCCACAAUGGACGAAAGUCUGAUGGAGCAACGCCGCGUGAGUGAAGAAGGUUUUCGGAUCGUAAAACUCUGUUGUAAGGGAAGAACACGUACGAGAGUAACUGCUCGUACCUUGACGGUACCUUAUUAGAAAGCCACGGCUAACUACGUGCCAGCAGCCGCGGUAAUACGUAGGUGGCAAGCGUUGUCCGGAAUUAUUGGGCGUAAAGCGCGCGCAGGCGGUCCUUUAAGUCCGAUGUGAAAGCCCACGGCUCAACCGUGGAGGGUCAUUGGAAACUGGGGGACUUGAGUACAGAAGAGGAAAGCGGAAUUCCACGUGUAGCGGUGAAAUGCGUAGAGAUGUGGAGGAACACCAGUGGCGAAGGCGGCUUUCUGGUCUGUAACUGACGCUGAGGCGCGAAAGCGUGGGGAGCAAACAGGAUUA